AUCGCUUCUCGGCCUUUUGGCUAAGAUCAACUGUAGUGUCUGUUCUUGUCAGUUUAAUAUCUACGUCCUCUGUCCGAGGGCAAUGUACUUCAAGAUUUGCAGAUGCUGACUGGAAUAUAU
ensembl:snRNA U2 U2 spliceosomal RNA